UACGUAGGGGGCUAGCGUUGUCCGGAAUCAUUGGGCGUAAAGCGCGCGUAGGCGGUCAGGUAAGUCCGGUGUGAAAGUCAAAGGCUCAACCUUUGAAUGCCGCUGGAUACUGCCUGACUUGAGUCCGGAAGGGGCGAGUGGAAUUCCUGGUGUAGCGGUGAAAUGCGCAGAUAUCAGGAGGAACACCAAUGGCGAAGGCAGCUCGCUGGAACGGUACUGACGCUUAGGCGCGAAAGCGUGGGGAGCGAACAGG
rnacentral:rRNA from 1 species